GGUGGCGGUGGCGGCGAUAAUAGCAGCAGCAGCAGUAGCAUCAGCAGGUUGCUGGACGCGACUGUUGCGAAGAAUGGCGCAGUAUCGCCGCGAGUUGCCUUUCUCCGGUCUCCGAUCAGAUUCUCAUAUGAGGCUUGGGCGAACGCCAUUUUGAACGGCGAAUGAUUAUUAUCGCAGUUAAGAUGUUUCUCGCACAUACCAACGAUGAAAAUAUUGAUGUGAUUUCUUUUUAUAAUUAUACAUAAAAUUGAACGCGAAUGCUCAACAAAAUGGUCGCUGAACAAAAUGAUAAUGAUAACGAGAGAUAUAUAUGAGAGAUAUACGUGAGAUAUAUAUGAGGACGGAAAAAAAGUGUAAGCUUCACGAACUACAAUCGUCCAGAUUCGUCACAGCCGCGUUCGUAUCUUCGCUUUAUUCUUUGUGUAUAAGACUUGGUGUUGGCGUAAAGCGCGUCGAGAUAAUCUGUAUAUCAAAGUAACGAUUCGCGCUUGAGGAAAUAAUCGCUCUUCGUUGGUGCGGUUGUGCACAAAACAUAUCCAAGGAUAUAGAGUGCGCGAUCGCGCACUCACAAGGAUAUUCACGCAACUUUUAUCGAAACGAGUGAUCGUUUAUGAGCAAAACUUGGAAUCCUGCACGCAGAUACCGAAUCUCUCUCAAAUCUUGUUUAAAUUUGUAUAUAUGUAAUUAGGCGCAAUAUGUACUACAUUUGCGAGUCUUUCUUUUUUCUUUCAAGUCAAUUACAGGUGCAUAUUUAUGUGUAGUAGGACUUUGUUUAUCGGAUUAUGUCGGACAAGACAAUUUCAAUAAAUAUUAACCAAAUGAUUCUGAUAAUAGAGGCUCAUUAAUUUUCUCUUCUAUCAGUACUUGUUAGUUCUGAUAGUAGGAGCUGACUUUCAGAAAAUUUGAGUCAAGCCCAGCUAUGAGUUUGGAACAGAGCACGAACUUGUUCAUAUAAAUGCAAUGCACAGAUAAACGGAGUUCUAUUGUAUAAUCGAUAUUGUAGAAAUCACGCGAACUGUCAUAUUUUGUUAAUCAUUUAUGUAUCUUCUCUGUUUAGAAAUAAAAAUCUCAAAUUUUCAUGGAAA